AGACGGGUAGAGGUGGGCGCUCCGGGGUGCCCUUUGCCUGCUGGGGUUCUCCGCUGCGCUCCCUCUGCUGGCUCAUAGCUGCUCCUGUGCGUCCGGGCCCCGGUCCCAUUACCCAGCCUCGGCCUCCCGCUGCGCAAGGAGGCGGGUCCUCAAGAGCCUCCCCCACAGCUUGCGUUGAGCCCCGAUGUCUUGCCCACAGCCCAGAGGCGCCGGGGUCAACUGCUGCCAGCCUGCGGCCCAGGGCGGGGGAUCGGCUCCCCGCCCGCAGGGCCGGCGCGACGUGCAGGAGCCUCCCGCGCGCCAGUCUGCACGCCGCGCACGUCCAGGGCCAGGGUGUUGGGGGCCAACCCGUGGCAGGUGCUGGUCCCAUGCAGCUUGCUCCUGAGCCCUGUCACCGCUUCCAGUGGACACCUCCUCAGGAUGCCUCCCCGCCUCCAGUGACCUCACCAUCAUGCGAAGCUGGCAGAGUUCUGAGCACAUCUCCCACUGUCAGGCCCACUGGGUGUCCUACAGGAGAACCCGUAACAGCAAUGCUGCCCUCUCUUUCCAGAAAUGAAUCGUCUGCUUUAAUCACGGGGCUCUACAACCAGAGAAUGUCACUGCACUGGGAUCAUUUGCUUUCCACUCUGCCUGGCAGUCAUGGCUCACCAGCUUGCAGGUCCACACAGGGUCACAUCUCCUUCUGGGGAGCAGGGGUAGGAGUGCUCGUGGCCUGGAACCGAGGUGCAGGGACAGGAGACGGGCGAGCCAAGCAGAACAGCCGUCCAUGAGUCAUGGUUCCAGAACAACCAGCAAAUGGCCAGCACCUGCUCACCCACCCCCUCCCACACCUGCCAGCCUCACCAGGGGGUUUUGGCCGCUGGACAGUCAGGGUGGGGCCGGCCCAAACUGACCACCCCUCCAGAAGAAAGUGACAGAUGUUAGCACCAGCAGGUCCUGCCCUCCCCAUCAACAGAUGUCAAGACAUGAAAAAUUGGGGUAAAUGAAGGGUGCACGAUUAGAUUUGGGCCCAAGCUGGGUUCCUGUGGGUGCCAGAGACAGCUGCAAAGGCACGUCAGGGACAAUCACCCUGAUGCGGUGGGGGCUGCCAGGCCCGUGUGCCCGGGGACAGCUGGACGAGGUGCUGACACGGGGCUCCUUCCUCUGAAGCCGUCCCGCAGCUGCUGGGAGUGCCGCCAGCUGUGAGCUUGUGCGCCUCGGCUCCAGGGCCGUGCUGGGGGAGCUGCAGGCGGGCCCACCUAGGGGUUCCUGGGACACUAGCCCAUCUUGAGCUGAUAGCUCCUCUCAGGGGAGACCCCUUUCUCCCCUCCCCUCCCCUUCUUGGCCCUUUCUGGCUCUGUCCAGGUGGGGCUCAGCUCCAGGUCUCUUGAAACCAGCCCGGAGGGGUCAGGCCUCCUCUCAGCACCUCUGGCCUCUCCCGUGUCUUGGCUUGUUUUCAUAUAGUUUUUUGCUUGAACAUGUAGGUUCAGGAGCCUUCCCCAGGCUCCUGGUGUUGGUGAACAGCUGCUUCGUAGAGACCCCAGCAUGCAGGCACUGAGCGGUGGGGCGAGAGGAAAGCAUCUCGGUGCCCCGACCCAGCACCAGGCCCCAGCCCUCCGGCUUGGGGUUUGCAGAAGAGGUUUGUUUUAGAGUGGGGCAUCUUCGUGGGGCACAAGAUGUACCCAUGUCUAAAUAUUAUUUUAAAACUGUUAGUUGGGCUUCCCUGGUGGUGCGGUGGUUGGGAAUCCGCCUGCCAAUGCAGGGGACACGGGUUCGAGCCCUGGCCCGGGAAGAUCCCACAUGCCGUGGAGCAGCUAAGCCCGUGCGCCACAACUACUGAGCCUGCGCUCUAGAGCCCACAAGCCAUAACUACUGAGCCCAUGUGCCACAACUACUGAAGCCGGUGAGCCUAGAGCACAUGCUCUGCAACAAGAGAAGACACCACAAUGAGAAGCCUGCGCACCGCAAUGAAGAGUGGCCCCCGCUCGCCGCAACUAGAGAAAGCCCACAUGCAGCAAUGAAGACCCAAUGCAGCCAAAAAUAAAUAAAUAAAAUAAAUAAAUUUUUAAAAAUUAAAAAAUAAAAAAAAUAAAUAAAACUGUUAGUUGCUCUCUAGCAUAGAUGAAGAUACAAGUUUAAAUGAAGUUGUAAGUAUAAACGACAUGACUUAUUCCAACAGGUAAAAGCAAUGCCUUUUUAGGUGAUUCUGAAACAAGGACCAGAGCAGAUUUUUUUUUUUUUUAAUUUUGGUGAAAUUCACAUAGCAUAAAAUUAAGUAUUUUUAGGUGUACAAUUCAGUAGCAUUUAGUACAUUCACCAUGUUGUGCAAGCAUCACCUCUAUUUAGUUCUACAAUAUCUUCAUCACCCCACAAGGAAACCCUGUCCCUGUUAGCAGUCACUCCUCAUCCCCCUCCCCCAGCCCCUGGGAACCACUGAUCUAAUUUCUGUCUCUGUGGAUUUGCUUAU